AUGACCUUGGGCAACUUCCUUAAACCAGCUGCUCUCACAGUAAGAAUCACCUGUUCACCUCACAUUGCUGAUGCUGAUUCAGCCCGGGGAAAAGCCUAUCAUUCCUCAUAUCUCACAGGCUCCCAGGUGCUGCUGCUGCUGCUGCUGUUCCUGGGCCACACUUUGAAUAGUCCUGGCUGCUGCAGCGCAGACGGCUUAGGCCGCGGAGGUCUGUGGGCCCGACCCCAGCCGGGCGGUUUCUGUCUGUCCUGCUAUGGCUGCCGCCACUGCUUGGUCACGCCGUCAGGUUUGGAGGAUGGGGUGCCUAGGUCCCGUGGCGAAGGGGCCGGAGAGGUGAUCGUGGAGCGGGGGCCUGGUGCGGCCUACCACAUGUUCGUGGUGAUGGAAGACUUGGUGGAGAAGCUGAAGCUGCUCCGCUACGAGGAGGAACUCCUCCGGAAGAACAACCUGAAACCCCCGUCCAGACACUAUUUUGCAUUGCCUACUAACCCUGGUGAACAGUUCUACAUGUUUUGUACUCUUGCUGCUUGGUUGAUUAACAAAGCAGGACGUCCCUUUGAGCAGCCUCAAGAAUAUGAUGACCCUAAUGCAACAAUAUCUAACGUUUUAUCUGAGCUUCGGUCAUUUGGGAGAACUGCAGAUUUUCCUCCUUCAAAAUUAAAGUCAGGUUAUGGAGAGCAUGUAUGCUAUGUUCUUGAUUGUUUAGCUGAAGAAGCAUUGAAAUAUAUUGGUUUCACCUGGAAAAGGCCAGUAUACCCAGUGGAAGAAUUAGAAGAGGAAAUUGUUCCAGAAGAUGAUGCAGAAUUAACAUUAAAUAAAGUAGACGAAGAAUUUAUGGAAGAGGAGACAGAUAAUGAAGAAAACUUUAUUGAUCUCAACGUUUUAAAGGCCCAGACAUAUCACUUGUUUUUCUUGUCUGAGUCCUCGAAACAAGUUUGGAUCUAG